UAAUACGGAGGGUGCAAGCGUUAAUCGGAAUUACUGGGCGUAAAGCGCACGCAGGCGGUUUGUUAAGUCAGAUGUGAAAUCCCCGGGCUCAACCUGGGAACUGCAUUUGGAACUGGCAAGCUAGAGUCUCGUAGAGGGGGGUAGAAUUCCAGGUGUAGCGGUGAAAUGCGUAGAGAUCUGGAGGAAUACCGGUGGCGAAGGCGGCCCCCUGGACGAAGACUGACGCUCAGGUGCGAAAGCGUGGGGAGCAAACAGGAUUAGAUACCCUGGUAGUCCACGCCGUAAACGAUGUCGAUUUGGAGGUUGUGCCCUUGAGGCGUGGCUUCCGGAGCUAACGCGUUAAAUCGACCGCCUGGGGAGUACGGCCGCAAGGUU
rnacentral:rRNA from 1 species